rnacentral:rRNA from 1 species
UACGGAGGGUGCAAGCGUUAAUCGGAAUUACUGGGCGUAAAGCGUACGUAGGCGGCUUGUUAAGCAAGAUGUGAAAUCCCCAGGCUCAACCUGGGAAUGGCAUUUUGAACUGGCAGGCUCGAGUUCUGAAGAGGGUGGUAGAAUUUCCAGUGUAGCGGUGAAAUGCGUAGAUAUUGGAAGGAAUACCGGUGGCGAAGGCGGCCACCUGGUCAGAAACUGACGCUGAGGUACGAAAGCGUGGGGAGCAAACAGG